rnacentral:miRNA from 1 species
CGAAGGGCGACCGAGAAAGAUCCGAAAUUUAAAAUAAGGCGGAGAAAUAAUAUAAUUAUUAUUAAUUAUAAUAAUUAUUAUUUCUCCGCCUUAUUUUAAAUUUCGGAUCUUUCUCGGUCGCCCUUC